rnacentral:rRNA from 1 species
UACACUCCUACGGGAGGCAGCAGUGGGGAAUUUUGGACAAUGGGCGAAAGCCUGAUCCAGCAAUGCCGCGUGAGUGAAGAAGGCCUUCGGGUUGUAAAGCUCUUUGGUCAGGGAAGAAACGGUGAGAGCUAAUAUCUUUUGCUAAUGACGGUACCUGAAGAAUAAGCACCGGCUAACUACGUGCCAGCAGCCGCGGUAAUACGUAGGGUGCAAGCGUUAAUCGGAAUUACUGGGCGUAAAGCGUGCGCAGGCGGUUUUGUAAGUCUGAUGUGAAAUCCCCGGGCUCAACCUGGGAAUUGCAUUGGAGACUGCAAGGCUAGAAUCUGGCAGAGGGGGGUAGAAUUCCACGUGUAGCAGUGAAAUGCGUAGAUAUGUGGAGGAACACCGAUGGCGAAGGCAGCCCCCUGGGUCAAGAUUGACGCUCAUGCACGAAAGCGUGGGGAGCAAACAGGAUUAGAUACCCGUGUAGUCCCAUGA